ACGCUGAAUGCCUUUGAAUAAAACUUAUAAAGACAAAGUCCGGAUUUUUGUCUUCUUGUGAGUCAACUUCUCUCCACUUUGAUAAGAAAAUUCCACAACAAACCCAUAAACUAUUCUUUAGGUGUGCAGAGUGCUGCAGAGCCUGUGGAAGUGUUGGGAAAUGACGCAGUGCUAACGGCAGCAAGUGAUGCUGUUAACUUUUGUUGCAUCUGCCAUACUCACUUCAACGACAAAAAAAAGAAUGCCAUGAAGAAACGGCGCGAGUGGCGUCAGUGCAGGACAUGCCAGCUGUGGUCACACUUGGCAUGUGGUUUCAAGAAGAAGUUGUGUGUUCACUGCCAGCAUCACAAGUCCUAAUGUACACUUUUGAUUGUGAAUACUCAAGCAUCCUGUUAAUGUAUUUGUUUUAGAAAAUGUAAUGUCGGUUGGUAUGUUCCUAAAUAUGUUCUCACAUAGUUUAAAAUCGACAUGCUGAAACAUAUUCAAAAUGACUUUUCAAAUGUACAGAGCAUGUGAAUGCCUGGAGAUGUUGGCUGUACAAUAGUGUACACCCUCCAUACUGUUAUGGGUAAAGAUGUGGUAAUUUGUACCAUAAAUGGAUGAAAAUGUAUUAUUAUUUUUCUAUUGAAAUAAGUUUAUUAAAAGACUGAGUUUGAACAUA